ensembl:lncRNA
AUGGCUUCACUAAGAGUUUUCCUCGUUUUGUUGCUUCAGGCUGAAGGCAUCAGAGGAGGCAUCUCUUACUGUGAUCUCUAUCAGAGACCUGGAGAUGAUGUCUUGUUACCCUGUCUUCAGGUGUCAUUAACGAAGACCAGAUGUUCAGAUAUUGACUGGUUUUACAACAAACAGCGAAGAAGAACUUUUCUUGAUGUUGAUGAUGGAGAAGUUGUGAAGAGCUCACCCCGAGCUGCCAGACUGAGUCUGCACACCAACUGCUCUCUGAUCAUCAAUAACAUCACAGCUGAGGACGCUGGUCAGUACACCUGUCGAUAUUUGAGGGACUCUACCUGGGACACACAGGUGUUUCUCAACAUUUUGACAAUUUCACCGUCAUCUACAGACACAGAUCCAAAUAGAGACGGAGACGUGACAUUAAGUUGCUCCCUGUUCAAAUUUGGAGGACGGUGUGAACCCAGGAGUGUCCGCUGGGUGGAUGAGAUGGGAGCUGAGCUGGUUGGUGAAGGUGAUGGUUUCAGGUAUGGAGGACAGACAAACUGUGUUUCUUAUCUGACUGUGAAGAAUCAGGCUGAACACAGCAGAAGAUACACCUGCCAGUAUGUUGAUGAAACAGGUGUGAAGAUCCAGGCUCUCUACUCAGCUGCGUCCUCAGUCCGUGAUGAACCCUUCAUCUUCAUCGUCGGGGGCGUGGUCGGGCUGUUGGUGUUGAUCCUGGUCAUUACAGUUAUUCUACUGAAAUGCAGAAAACAAGUGAAAGCGACAAAAGAUGCUCCAAAACUGGCCAAUAUUCCAGAAGAGGCCGAUGUGACCUAUGCCACAGUAAACGAGCAUCACACCAGUGACCAUAAAGAUGAUGAGACAGAGAUCAGUCUGACCUACGCCACUGUGAGCCUCACGAAUCAAAAGGUCCAUCAGAAGAAGAAGGUCAAAGUUGAGGAAAAGGUGGAAGAAGUGACUUAUUCUGCUGUCAGGACUCGGUGAAGACCAAACUGAAAGCUCCCAGAAUGCCUCGGGCCUGGGUAAAACAAGCUCCCUCCACCGGACGACCAGCAGCCGCACACUGUGCCCAGCGCCGGACGCCCCGAGGCGCCAGCUGCUGGAGACGAGCACAGCGUCACCAGAAGACACAACCGCCGCUGCUGGACGCCGCAGCUGAUCCUGAAGAUGAAGAUGAUGAGCACAGGAACACUUACUGCUGCGACCACACCGAGGUCCCCCACACGACAGAGACGUCCUCCUCCACGCUUGAAGGACACUUGAACAAUUGAACUUGAGACGCUGUCGUCUGAGUUCCAAAACGGAAAAUUCAGUGUGUUGAUUUCACAGAAUUUUUACAGAAUUUCCCAGUUUGGGAUCAAUAAAGUACUACUCUGCUCUGCUCUACUCUACUCUACUCUACUCUACUCUUCACUGGUGGUGGACUUCAACCACAAAAAAAGAAGAAGAAGAAGAAGAAGAAGUGUUUGAAGUGAUUUUUCUGUUUCAGACCAAUUUACGAUGUUCUGUUUUUUUUUUUUUGUUUGUUUGUUUUUUUCUCAGUUUUGAAAUGUUUAGUUCAGGGGCGCUGCUGGGUUUUCAGUUCAGGUGGGCUCAGCCCCCAGGAGAGGCACAGGAUGUGAGCGAACACAGAGCACGAGCGUAAAACUCCACAAACAGCUAAGAAAAACUGAGAAAUUAUUCAUUGUUAUUGUAGUUUGUUUUGACACAGGACAACUACAGUAAAGGUUUGCAGAGUAACAGUGUGUUUACCGCUGCAGUCUUUACCCCCAGUCAAUAGCAAGACAGAGUUUGGGAGUCUGUGAAAAAAAAAUCUCAAAUUAAAAUGAUAAUAAAUUAAUAAGCUGGCUGAAUCAGUAAAAGAAAAAAGGGUGUAAGACUAGUUACAUAUAUUUACUGGAUGGCUGUUAUGUUUGUCAGUUUCCUGUCGAUGAUUCAAAGAAGUGACAAUAAGUGUUGAACCACUUCAGAAAGUUUUGAACUAGUUUUCUAAUAAACCAGGUUCAUCCGGACUGAGUCAGUGCUCAUAUUGUUUGUAGAAACUUGAAGAUGAAGGAAACACUCUGGUAUGAAUCUUCAGAACUUCAUGCUUUAUUAGCAGCUGCUGCACAUAACAUCUCACUGCUCGCAGGAGAUUAGUGUGAAGCUAGUGCUUCUCCACUCCUCAACUUCAUCUGCUUCUUUCUGUGUGAGGAGAGAGCCAUUUUUCCGCCACCCAGUUUCCAGUCCAAACACAGCAAAACGCGGCUAUCGCAUUCUCAAAAACCAGCCCAAAGUCGACCCAGUAGAGUUGCACUCUCCCUCCUGUCAAAGCAGGAACAGCCAGCUGAGUUCUCCGUGUCGUAAUGUCGGCGAUGAGGAAGCGGCGGUCAGCCAACGCAGUGAGAUACGGUGAAAUUUCAGGCCCAAUCUGUUCUCAAAUUGACUUGUGUGCCUGAAUACCACACACGUUACCAUCGCCAUUAAAAUAAGACGUGUUUCAUUCGCUAAUCCACCAGUAUUCUGCGUGUUGUUAGCUGCACGGUUGGCAACACUUUUAGCCUACAGGAAGUGUGACAUUUCGAAACUGUCCUAAAUAAAGAAAAUGGAAAGCACCAUCAGAGUUUCUGCAUCAGUCUAUAAAUACACUGCAUCUGCGGGCUUCUGCUGAAAAGUGAUGCCAGUCUGCAGCUUUCUCGCUGCU